GAGGUUAUAGUCAUGGGGUCUCCAACUGCAUGCCACAGUAAUUGCAAAGACUUUCAAAGCCCAGGUCAGCAGGACCUCUGCAGCUGCCACUCAGCUUUCCUAUACAC